rnacentral:lncRNA from 1 species
AGGAGUCCGGGAAGGACGUCUGUCUAGAGAUGAAGGCUCUUCUGUAAAGUGAUAUGAGGGCUUUUCUAAGAAGAAAGAGGGAGAAGCACAUGUUGUGUCUUCCCAUAUUAAACGAAGACCCUCUAUGAAGAGGACGAUUGCUCGCCCUGCCAUCAACCAACACUAGGUGGCUCAUAUAGCACCUGCCUUCAGAGAAGUUCAUGAUCAACAACUACAACAACAUCAACAAUAUCAAUAACAGCAUCGUCCACAAUAGCAGGCCUACCA